CACAGCACUGAAUGGAUCAUAAAAUAGGUAAACAUCAGCAUCUUGGUAGAGAGCACGUGCAAUCUGUACUCUCUGUUUCUGUCCACCACUCAAAUUUAUGCCUCUCUCACCUAUGACUGUUUGAUCACCAAAAGAGAGAAUUUCCAGGUCUUUCUUUAACGAGCAUGCUUCAAGAACUUUAUCAUACUUCUCCCUCUGCAUCUCUUUACCAAAUUAUAUGUUCUCUUCUAUCUUUCCACUCUGUAUCCAGGAUGACUGUGCAACAUAAGCUUUCGUUCCACCGAGUCUAAUAGUCCCUGAUAAUUUGUGCAUCUCCCCUAAAAUGCUAGAGAGUAAACUUGAUUUUCCUGAACCAACAGUACCACAAAUGGCAACUCUCAUGCCAUUAAGCACGCUAAGAUUUUACAUCCUUUAGAAGAGGAGUGGAGGAGGAUGCAUCCCAUGCGAAGUUCCCAUCAACAAUCUCAAUUGCAACAUCAGAACGUCCUUUUGGAAGCUUCUCUAUGACAUCAGGCUGCAAGUCCUCAAGAGAUAGGAAAGAGGCAAUACGAUCAAGAGAAACUUUGGUUUGAGCAAUCAUUGAAAUUGUAUCCGGGAGACUGUAGAUGGGCAUUUGGAGAAUUCUAAAUGUUGCAAGUGCAGACAAGAUCUUCCCAGUUUCAAGUGGGAUUCCCAUAAGCAUUGCAGCACCGAAGGUCACCGCAGAAACAAAUGUAGGAGAAACCCAAAACACAAAACUAGUCAUAGCUGAUGUGUAAAGAUAAUUUUUCAACCAUCCUGCCUCGAUACUUCUGAGGUCCAAGAUCCUAGAGAGAAACUUCAUCUCCCAAGCUUGAAGCUUGAGUAUUCUCAUAUUCCUUAAUACUUCAGAUGUCGCCUUCGUCCUUCCGUCUUUUGAUUCCAUGAGUUUCUCCUGAAACUUCUCCUGCAAUCUACCUAAAGGGAUGUUUAACAGCAUCACCAUUAUUGCAGCAACAAAUGCUGCAAUUGAAGCAAGGCCAAGAUUUUUAUAGAGUAUCAGCAACGCCAGACCAACUUGGAUUAUCACCUUCCAAGGAUCAUGCAUAUACCAACCGAAAUCACCAAUCCUCUCUGCACCAACUGUCAUAAAAUUGAUGAUCUCUCCACUAGUAUGGCUUUGCUUUGACUGACAAGAAAGCGUCAAACCUUUGUUGUAGAUUAGGGCAACCAAUGCUGCCCGUGCCCGAUACCCUCCCUGCUGCACCUUGAAAACCCAAUGCCUUUGUGUCAAACUCUCUACCAACUUUGCAACAAAGAAUGUUGCAACUAAGAGAUAACCUUCAUUAUCAAAACUUCGUUUUCCAUUCAGAUACUGUACUAAAGUAUCGAUGAGGUAUGGGCCAACAUAAGUAGCCAAAGUACAUAGAAGCACCAAGCAUGCUGACAACACUAUUUCCUUCCAUGUGGUGUAAAUCAAAGCCUUCGCCAGCAUAAGUGUAGUCACACGGUUACGACUAUCUGCUCCACCACCUACAGAUUCUAGUUUUUCUCUAAAAAUCAGAAAAGCCCCUCGGACUUUAUCACCACUAUGAAGCUGAGGAACAUCCUCAAGGUCUAAUGUCUUCUUGUAGCCAAGAGAUAUAAGGGGUCCAAUCCAAGAGAAAGUAAAAAGACUAAAAAAGUUAGCAUUGGCAUAAGGGGUCACAGUUUGAUCCCCAGAAGACUUCUUUAAGUCUAUGCCAUUUACAACAUCACCAUUCAAAAGGGGUUCCUCAAGACUGUUCCCUUCACUCUCUUUUUUAACAAUAAACCCCACAAAGCAAAAGAACAACCCCAUAACAGUGAAAACAACAUCAGGUACCCAAAAUUGAGUCUUUUUUCCAUAAACAAGGUCUAUAACUAGACAAUAACAAGACACAAAGAAGAAAAUCCCCCACCAAACUCUUAAAACAAAAGGGUAUUUAUUUUCACCAGAAUUACUCAACAUGGUGUUCAAAAAAACAGAAACUGACAACCAAGCUAGAAACUUUGAUGCAAAAUCAACAAAAGUUACAGUCUUUUCCUCUGACCAACCACUCGUAUACCAAUAAAAAUGAGUUAACAAACAUAACAAGAAACUAAAAAUGACAAGACCUAUAGAACAAAACAAGGUUUGUUUAUAGCACAUGAACCUGACAUUCCUAGUAAUAUCUUUGGGAUCAGCAUUGCCACCAUUAUUAUCACUCUUGAUUUUUUUCCAACCCCAUAAGCCAAGAAUCACAAAAAACAAUCCCAGGUGAAAACAACAGCUGAUUAAACGUAAACAAAAUGGGUUUUUAAAAGAUUCAUCAACCCCCACAUACCUCAAAGAUUGAAAAUCAAACAUGCCCUUCAAUGUAUCAGCAAUUUCCAUGAAAUUUUUUUCUUUUUUUUGAGGUUAAAGAUUAAGUUUUUGAGGGACACGUCUAGUUUGGUUAUGGCUCUGGCUCUUUUCUGGGAUGGUAUCACAUAUAUAUAGAGUACUAGUUUGGUUUGGAUUUUGAUUUUAAAAAAUUCCAAAUUUUUAUUAAUUAAUUAUUGAAUAUAUAUAUUUGUGAAAAAGAUUUCAGAAAAUGGUGCUGGAAAAUAUGGAAGAAAAAGUUGUUUCUGCUUUUUCUGUUCCCGUUAGGAAUGGAGAGAGCAAAUUACUUACAAGACAAAAUGGAAAAAGAAGAAAAAAUGCAAGUGAUACUUGUAUUAUAUUAAGAAAAAUGAUUUAUUUUUUUAUAAAUAUUUCAUUGAACUCGAUUAUUAUUAUAUAUUAAUUUAAAUUCAUCGUAAGAAUUCAAUUAAAUCAGCUCAUAAAUAUUAAAUUCUGAAUUUACUUAUUACUUAAAGCUCUAAUAAAAAAAUGGUAAUAUCCAUCUCAUUGCAUGAACUAUAUUAUAAUUUUACCAUAUUACUUUACUUGUUUAUACAUAAGCGACUAAUUCAGCAGCUUUUGAUCGUGCUACCUACUUGAAUAGUUUCCAAUCAUAUUGUCUACUUGGGCAACCUGAUUCUUCUCUUUUAUAACAUAGGAUCAAUAAAAAUAUUUUACGAAUUUUUUAAUUUAAUUUUCUUAAGACAACUAGUUUGAUAUAAAUAAGAAGUGAAGGGAUUUACUUUAAAAUAUUCCCACUAGUUUAGAAAAAAUAUGAAUGCCAUACCAUUUUAGAAUUUCUUUAAAAUCCUUGUGCAACUAUAAUUAGAAAUUAUUUAAAUAAUAACUAUAUUUUAUUUUUUUUUAUUGUUUAGAUAUUAAAAUUUCCAUUCAAUUACUCCUAUAUUUUGCGAAAAAAGAUUAGUUUUUUCCCCUUAAUUUCAGUAACAACUUUUUUAUUCUUAUUAUAUUUUGUUGGAAAAAAUAGUUUUUGCAUUAAUUAUAAAUUAAAAAAAUUUGAAAAAGAGCUUCCACCUAAAUGGGAAUGCUUAUUGGAAAUGUCAAUUAUGUCAUUUUGGGGAGUUGCACGUACGCCAAUAUUUUUAUAUUUAAAGAUAAUUUAAUUUUAAACUUUAUAAAUAUAUAAAUACUUUUACGAUUCAUUUUUAGUUGUCAUAAUUUUUUCUUCGAAAUCAAAAUCAUAUGAAUUUUGACUAAUAUUAUAAAAUAUGUUUUUUAAUUAUAACUAUAUGAAAAAAUAGUAAUUUAUAGUACUUUUUGUAUAUUUUUCGAAUAUCAAUUUUUUUAUUUUAAAUAACAAAUUAAUGUAAGUUAAUUUAGCUAUGAAAUUAGCUAAAUUGGCUCUUACAAGCGCAACAUGACGAAUUAAAAGAAACUAAGGGAGUAUCUAAUUUACUUUAAACCACAAAUUUCAAAAACAUAUCCAUUUUUAAAAAAUUUUAUUUCUGGUCAAAUAUCAUAGAUAUUAAAAAUGUAAGUAUUACAAAAAAGAAAAAGCAUAGGGUCGUCCAACCAAAAAAAAAAACUUAUAUAUUUGAUAUAUCUACAUUAAAUUACAUAAUCUUAGUUAAAUCAUAUAAAAAAGAUACAAAUUUGUAUUAUUAACUAUUAUUCAAAAAAGGAAAAAAAAUUAAAAAGGUACUCCUAGUAAAAAAGGACAUUGGAGAAUCUUUUUACUCCAUUUAGUAGUUCAAAUAGUUCUAUAAAAUAAGGGAUAAUAACAUAAAAAGAUCAUUUGUAUUUGAUUAUAAAUAUUAACUAAUUCUGAAAUAUAAUUUUUUUUACAUUAAAACAAUAAAAUCAUACUAUUUCAAUGGAUCAAAUAUUCUUGUCCGUCACAUCUCGAAAACCUAUAAAAAAAAUAAAAAAUAUAUCUAAAUUUCUUUUUUUUUCCUCUCAGAUAAUUGCGCUUCUAAAUCCUUAAAAUUACAAUUAAUGUGUUAUUAUUUAUAUUUUUGAAAUAAAUGUCGCAAAAUUUGAUUGCUCCAAGCAGUUAUGUACAAAGCCAAAAAGAUCCAAGCAGCAUAGCCUCUACUUCUUAGAGAUGUUGUUUUCUCGGAACCCUCGUCUCAAAAACCCAUAAGCAGAAUAAACUGGAUAUGACAAAAAAGUAAAGGAAAAGAAAAGGGAACAAAAAGAGAUACUAAUAACGAAACGUAUAUGAUAGUAUGUAGAUAUGGCACAAGGAAGGGAAAGAAAAGGGAACAGAAAGAGCGACUAAUAGCGAAAAGAGCACAUGACAGUAUGUAAAUACGAUAAAAUUAACACAUAUAUGACAGAAAAUGAUGCCUGCUACCCUACAAUACCCCACGGCCAGACAUCACCUAACCUUACUAGCCUAUUAGCCUGCUACUCUAAUUCGGGACCUCCACUCCUUCCAAGCAGCAUAGCCAUGAUGAGUUGAUUUCCUCAGGCUGAGUUCAGGUUGAACUACCCAUUUUCUGGUGCAAAAUGCUUAUGUAGUAGCAUUUUCUGGAAAACUUACUUAACAAAAGAAAUGCAAGCCACAGGCAAUGAGCUUCAUUUUGCUGGUUUUUGUUCAAUCUAUGUUGUCCACGGAUGGAAACUCAAAAACAGCGUGUAAAGUAUACGUUACUGGUUUAGAAUCACCUAGUUUUCAUCAUCAUCAUUGUGUUACGUGUGUCUGAGACUCACGUGUCUGAGGCAUUCUCAAAACUUGAAUUUGAUCUCAUACUAUACUCAGCCACGAGCUUCGCAAACAACGAGGAUUUGUUCUCUAACAACUUGCCCGGAGUGUCAUAUUCAGCAAUGAGCCCUGCAGUAUAGCAAAGAAAAGAAGGUAAAUACCAAGAAUUUCCACUUCCGUUUGCUCCAAAAAUGCAAAUGUUGAUUCUUACCAUGUUCUAAUAGCAGGACCAUGUCACUAUCAAGAACAGAUGUGAUCCUAUGAGCAAUGGUUAUAACUGUGGAAUCAGUGAAGUGUUGCCUUAGAGUUUGCUGAAUUAGAUUAUCAGUUGCAGUGUCGACAGAUGCUGUAGCCUCGUCUAGGACAAGGACCUUGCUUUUUUUGAGUAGCACGCGUCCAAGACAUACCAGCUGCCUUUGGCCUACGCUCCAGUUCUCUCCAUUUUCAGAUACUGCAGCAAUCCAAAAGAAUAUAAGCAUUACAGCUUUAAAAGUGAAAAGCAUCCGAACAUGAUGUGGUUCUAACCUGUAGAAUCUAGUUUGCCUUCCUUCUUCCUAACUUCAUCUCCAAGCUGACAUUUGUCAAGCGCCUGAAGCAUAAAAUUAAAUGAAGUCUCUCAAUACGUAAAAGUUUUUCAUUUUCCUAUGUGAAACAAAAAUCGAAUUAGGCAAAUCCAAGCUCUUACCUCCCAAAUUUGUUCAUCUGAAUAUUCUUCAAGCGGAUCUAGGUUGCUGCGUACAGUCCCCUCAAACAUAGUUGGAUCUUGUGGAAUUAUACUCAAUCUAGACCGUAGAUCAUGCAAACCAAUUGAGGCAAUGUUGGUACCAUCUAUUUUAAUUUGUCCAGCAACAGGAUCAACUAUGCGGAAGAGGGUCUGUAUGAGAGUUGAUUUACCACUGCCUGUCCUACCAACAAUUCCAGUUUUCUUCCCACCAAAGAAAGUGCAUGUAAGCCCUCGUAACACGAGAGGCAUGUGCGGAGCAUAUCGGACCUAUAAAAGUUUUCAGGUAUAUCAACACAUAAACUGAAUUAACAAUAAGCCAAUCUACAUGCAUAACACCAGAGAACAACUCAAUUCACCUGAAGAUUGCUAAAAUCAACCUCUCCACAUGAUGGCCAAUUAGGAUCUGGUCUAUUAGACUCUAUUAUAAGAGGAGGUUCACUUGGAAGACCAGUAUACUGAAAUAUUCUUUCAACAGAAAUAAUUUUAUUUUCAAUCAGACAAAGAUUCCAUACGACCCAAGCUUGCAGUAUGUUCAGAGUAAGUCCGUAAGUAACAGCUAAGCCAGCAACACCUAUAAAGCAAGAACAAUGAGAAAAUGUCUGUGGUAUGUAUUCUUUAGAAAUAUUUAACAAAUUUCAAGAAAGGAAAACCUGNNNNNNNNNNNNNNNNNNNNNNNNNNNNNNNNNNNNNNNNNNNNNNNNNNNNNNNNNNNNNNNNNNNNNNNNNNNNNNNNNNNNNNNNNNNNNNNNNNNNNNNNNNNNNNNNNNNNNNNNNNNNNNNNNNNNNNNNNNNNNNNNNNNNNNNNNNNNNNNNNNNNNNNNNNNNNNNNNNNNNNNNNNNNNNNNNUGCCUUAGAGUUUGCUGAAUUAGAUUAUCAGUUGCAGUGUCGACAGAUGCUGUAGCCUCGUCUAGGACAAGGACCUUGCUUUUUUUGAGUAGCACGCGUCCAAGACAUACCAGCUGCCUUUGGCCUACGCUCCAGUUCUCUCCAUUUUCAGAUACUGCAGCAAUCCAAAAGAAUAUAAGCAUUACAGCUUUAAAAGUGAAAAGCAUCCGAACAUGAUGUGGUUCUAACCUGUAGAAUCUAGUUUGCCUUCCUUCUUCCUAACUUCAUCUCCAAGCUGACAUUUGUCAAGCGCCUGAAGCAUAAAAUUAAAUGAAGUCUCUCAAUACGUAAAAGUUUUUCAUUUUCCUAUGUGAAACAAAAAUCGAAUUAGGCAAAUCCAAGCUCUUACCUCCCAAAUUUGUUCAUCUGAAUAUUCUUCAAGCGGAUCUAGGUUGCUGCGUACAGUCCCCUCAAACAUAGUUGGAUCUUGUGGAAUUAUACUCAAUCUAGACCGUAGAUCAUGCAAACCAAUUGAGGCAAUGUUGGUACCAUCUAUUUUAAUUUGUCCAGCAACAGGAUCAACUAUGCGGAAGAGGGUCUGUAUGAGAGUUGAUUUACCACUGCCUGUCCUACCAACAAUUCCAGUUUUCUUCCCACCAAAGAAAGUGCAUGUAAGCCCUCGUAACACGAGAGGCAUGUGCGGAGCAUAUCGGACCUAUAAAAGUUUUCAGGUAUAUCAACACAUAAACUGAAUUAACAAUAAGCCAAUCUACAUGCAUAACACCAGAGAACAACUCAAUUCACCUGAAGAUUGCUAAAAUCAACCUCUCCACAUGAUGGCCAAUUAGGAUCUGGUCUAUUAGACUCUAUUAUAAGAGGAGGUUCACUUGGAAGACCAGUAUACUGAAAUAUUCUUUCAACAGAAAUAAUUUUAUUUUCAAUCAGACAAAGAUUCCAUACGACCCAAGCUUGCAGUAUGUUCAGAGUAAGUCCGUAAGUAACAGCUAAGCCAGCAACACCUAUAAAGCAAGAACAAUGAGAAAAUGUCUGUGGUAUGUAUUCUUUAGAAAUAUUUAACAAAUUUCAAGAAAGGAAAACCUGUUGAUGAAAGAGCACUUACUCGGAUCAAUUGUUCCAACAGGAAGAGAGAUUAAGAAAAUCAACACGAAAGCAAAAGUGAUCAGAGAUAACAUAUCCAAACGCAUGCAAAGCCACUCCAUCGCGGCAGCUGUGUGAAACUUAGGCCUAGAAUAAUUGUCUAUUAAUCUCAUACUUGCAUCCUGGAAUCUAGGUUCCUGAUCGAAACUUCUAAUUGUGCUUGAUCCUGAAAUUGUCUCGGUAAAGUGCUGUAUCACUGGAGCUUUGCAUGUCCCAUUUAGACGUGCCAGUUCUCGAGCAGCAGGUAUGUAAUAUUGCUGCAAUUAAACAAAACACACUGCUUAAACAUAAUUCAUGUUUACUAACGUCGCUAGAGUUAUAAAUUCAGAGAAAAGGGAAAAGGCAAAGUAGCAACCUCCAACCAAAUGCAAGCUGCAAUGACUGGAAUAAAGACAAUGAAGACCUGCCAUGCGACUUGUGACAUUACUCCAAUAAUUCCUAUAAGCUGUAUUAUUGUGAAGGCAAAGGAUCCAACUUGAUAGGGAACGCUCAGAUCGAUUGCACUCUGAUCUGUCGAUGCCUGUUAUCAUACCAAAGCACAUUUGAACAAAUUACAAAGAUGCUAGCUAAUUUUGGAUAAUAUUCAUUGGUCAAUGUAAAGAAAGAUUGACAUUAAUAAGAAAGAAGGGCAAGUAAAAAGAUAUAAUCAUUCACUUACUCUGUUUAGAAUCCGUCCACUUGGUGUGGCAUCGAAGAAUGACAUCGGAGCACGGAAUAUGCAAAGAUGCAUUUUAUGGAAAAGCAACGAGGCAGUCUUAUAUCCAACUGUAACAAGAAGCGUGGUUCUAGCCAAGAUGCACAAAGCGCUUGCAAUUCCUAAAGCAACAUACACAAUGAUGAGUGUAGAACUACCAACAGGAGAUGGAUCACUCUUCGAGACGGGGGUUGCCCACGCCAUCCAAUAAUUGCUUCCGAUUUGAAGGAGCUGAAAACCAGUUUGUGCUAACAGUAUAAUUGGGACAAGGGCACCUCCAUAUGCAGUUGUUAUAUAUUUCCAGUAAACUGAAAAGCCAACGCUACCCUUCUCUCUUUCUUCCUCCUGAACAAUUUGUCCCCUUGGUCCAUCAGUGUCAUCAACUUUAAUAUUUUGGCCAUCUGUAGUCUGUUUAUCCAGCCCGGUGGUGUUAUCGCCAGUCAAUCCAGUACUUUCCUUGCUCUUUCUCUUUGCUUCCCCCUUAAAAGUGUCAAUUGUUGUUAAAGCUUCUUGGUGAGCACUGACAAGUUCCAUGAAGUCAUUACCUAAUUUGAGAAGAUCAUUGUAUUUUCCAGCUUGACUAAUCUUUCCAUCCUUCAUUACCUGAGGAGAAAUAUAAUGUCCAAUUUAAUGUACAAUAAACAAACACUAAUUACUCAAGCAAGUAAAAUGAAAGAGUACCAAGAUCAAAUCUGCAGCAGGCAAAAACUCCACUUGAUGAGUAACAUAUAGAACUGUUUUUGAAUUCAAUAGCCCCAUUAUACAUUCCUGCAAUAAAAUAUGGGUCAAUCAAGGCCCAGGAGAAAAGCACCAAAUGUGAAACUAAAGCAUAUGAAUUGACUUACAGUGAAGAGAUGAGUGCCGGUAUGAGCAUCCACAGCACUGAAUGGAUCAUCAAAUAGGUAAACAUCAGCGUCUUGGUAGAGAGCACGUGCAAUCUGUAUUCUCUGUUUCUGUCCACCACUCAAAUUUAUGCCUCUCUCACCUAUGACUGUUUGAUCACCAAACGAGAGAAUUUCCAGGUCUUUCUUUAACGAGCACGCUUCAAGAACUUUAUCAUACUUCUCCCUCUGCAUCUCUUUACCAAAUAAUAUGUUCUCUUCUAUCUUUCCACUCUGUAUCCAGG
rnacentral:lncRNA from 1 species